GGGACAGUUCCCAUGGAGGGGGGAAGCAGGGGCGGCUGGGCCUGCUGUGCAGACGGACAGACAGGCAUCAAGACGCCUCCCACGUCACGGCUCUUCUGCCCCCACACUGUUUGGCUCCCAGCAGUUUUGUCUGCAGACGGGGACCCGGCCAAGUCUGUACACCCAGAGCAGGAUUUUCCAGCUGGCGGCCGCUCACGAGUGCUGUCCCCCAGGGCUGGGGACUGGGGCCACUCCUACUGAAGUUCUGUGCUUCUACGCUUCUACGCUGCCAUAUCCAUUCCAAGUCCAUCCCGUAUCCAGAGCCCAACCCAUAUAUAUCCCAUUUCCCGAUAUCCCAUCCAGUAUCCAUCCCAUAACCAUAUUCCUGCACCCCACAUCCCAAUCCCACAUCCUGUAUCCCACACCCUAUAUCCCACAUCCCAGCCCCACGUGCUGUAUCCCACAUCCCAAUCCCAAUUCCAAAUCUCAUUCCCCAUCCCUCAUCCCAACCCCAUCUCACACCUGUCAAUCCCAAUCCCUCAUCCCAAAUCCUGAUCCCAAUCCCAAUCCCACAUCCCAUCCCCUACAGCAAUAGGGAACACUCCGAGCCCCGCCCCCACCGCAGCUCCGUCCCGCCUCCGAGCUCUCAUUGGUCAGGGGCAGUUCCGGCUCAUUCGUGCCUCUCAUUGGUCAGCGGCAGCGCCGCCGGCUCCGAUUGGCUGAGGCGCAGCGCGCGGGAACGACCGUCGGCAGCCGGCUCUCCCUUCGGACGGUGCUGGUCCCACAGCCGCUGCGCGCCGGAGCUGUCCGGGCAGCACCGAGACGGAACCGCGGCACGACGGGAGCGGUGCUGAGGACAGCGGCGCCGGAGGUGCGCGGGAGAACGGCUCCGGGCCGGGGCCGGGGAGAGGAGCCGGCAGCGCUGCUCGCGGUGCCCCCCGGGGCUGAGAUGCAGGUAUUGUUUAAUAAGGACUUUGGAGAAGGUUUCAGUAUGAAGUCUCCUGGUCAGGAAGAAAGAAGAAUGUUUUUGGAGGACUUAAUCACGAGUGGAGCUGCUGCUGAACCUCACUUGCAACCAGCAAGCAGGUGAGGAUGUUGUGCAUCUCAGCCUUUCCUCACUGCAAGGUACCAGCGAUUCAGUCUGUGCUGUGCGGUGAUUUUCCACCAGCACUUCUGCUUGUCUGUGAGCACCAGGCAUCCGCUGACGUUGUCUGGUGGCUUUAGGCUGGGCAGACAUGGGAAGCACUGGCUGCAGCAGCAGCAGCUGAGCUCUGUGUGCCAGAGGAAGGAACGCGGCGUCUGGAGGAGCAGGAGGAGGAGAGCCUGCGUGACUCUGCGUGUUCUGCAGGGCCGUUCCUCACAGACUGCCACUGACAGACGUUGGGGCACUGCAGAGCCUGUUGGUGCGGAGGAGGUCCUGAUGAUGGCACAGGCAUUAAACAGCCCAGAACUCGUCGCUGGGGAGAGGCUGCGCAUUGCACCGUGAAGGGAGAGAUGCAGGAGGGGUUUGAACAGCGUUGUGCAGGAAUGGAUAACUGGUAAGAGAAGAGGUGUGUGUUCUGAGAGCAAGGGCUGUGCGGCUCAUCUCUGUGUUCUCCCAGGAAAUGCAAGGCAGAGCUCUCUGCUCUCUGUUCUUUCUUGCAAGGCUGCGGCCCUUCAAAGUGCACUGUGGAUGGGCGGCGCGAUGACAGCCCAAGGAUGGCAGCAGGAGAUGCAGCACAGCCCUCUCCAGCAGCAAGGUGCAUUGGUUUGUCUUGCUUAUUCUUGAAGUAGAAGGUGUGUUUAGCUUC